rnacentral:rRNA from 1 species
GAUGAACGCUGGCGACGUGCCUAAUACAUGCCAGUAGAACGCUGAAGCUUGGUGCUUGCACCGAGCGGAUGAGUUGCGAACGGGUGAGUAACGCGUAGGUAACCUGCCUCUUAGCGGGGGAUAACUAUUGGAAACGAUAGCUAAUACCGCAUAAAAGUCGAUAUCGCAUGAUAUUGAUUUGAAAGGUGCAAUUGCAUCACUAAGAGAUGGACCUGCGUUGUAUUAGCUAGUUGGUGAGGUAACGGCUCACCAAGGCGACGAUACAUAGCCGACCUGAGAGGGUGAUCGGCCACACUGGGACUGAGACACGGCCCAGACUCCUACGGGAGGCAGCAGUAGGGAAUCUUCGGCAAUGGGGGCAACCCUGACCGAGCAACGCCGCGUGAGUGAAGAAGGUUUUCGGAUCGUAAAGCUCUGUUGUAAGAGAAGAACGAGUGUGAGAGUGGAAAGUUCACACUGUGACGGUAACUUACCAGAAAGGGACGGCUAACUACGUG